GACCUCUUCCUGUUCCUACUAGAACCAUGGAUCUGUGACCUUUCAACAAUGAUCCUGGGUUGGAGCAACUUGCAGAUCUGCUGGUCCUCCAGGUAUGGAUUAAAAAGACGGAUGGAAUUAUCACC